AGUGAACGCUGGCGGUAGGCCUAACACAUGCAAGUCGAACGGCAGCACAGUAAGAGCUUGCUCUUACGGGUGGCGAGUGGCGGACGGGUGAGGAAUACAUCGGAAUCUACUUUUUCGUGGGGGCUAACGUAGGGAACCUUACGCUAAUACCGCAUACGACCUACGGGUGAAAGCAGGGGAUCUUCGGACCUUGCGCGAUUGCAUGAGCCGAUGUCGGAUUAGCUAGUUGGCGGGGUAAAGGCCCACCAAGGCGACGAUCCGUAGCUGGUCUGAGAGGAUGAUCAGCCACACUGGAACUGAGACACGGUCCAGACUCCUACGGGAGGCAGAAGUGGGGAAUGUUGGACAAUGGGCGCAAGCCUGAUCCAGCCAUACCGCGUGGGUGAAGAAGGCCUUCGGGUUGUAAAGCCCUUUUGUUGGGAAAGAAAAGCAGCAGGUUAAUACCCCGCUGUUCUGACGGUACCCAAAGAAUAAGCACCGGCUAACUUCGUG
rnacentral:rRNA from 1 species